CCUGAUCAGCCUGAGCACAGACAAAGAUCUCUUUGUUGUCAAUAAGAAAAUCAGCAACAUUCAGAACGUUACUUUGUGGACUGGUCUGAACUUUUUGCAUGGCUCAUGGUUUUGGGUGAACAACGAGACUGUGACAAACCUAUUCUCGCUUGUUUCAUGUCCCAUCCAACCUUUCCGUUGUGGAGCAAAAGUUGGAGUUGGAGGUGUCUUGGAGAAUGCAGACUGCAUGAAGAAAAUGAACUUCAUGUGCUACCACAUACAAGGGUGAAGUGGUCAAAACCGAUCAAGAUAAAGAA